GACGAACGCUGGCGGCGUGCUUAACACAUGCAAGUCGAACGAAGUGGCGAACGGGUGAGUAACGCGUAAUCAACCUGCACUUCAGAGGGGGACAACAGUUGGAAACGACUGCUAAUACCGCAUACUGAAGGAGGGGACUGCGUCUGAUUAGUUAGUUGGAGGGGUAACGGCCCACCAAGGCGAUGAUCAGUAGCCGGACUGAAGGGGGGAACGGCCAACUUGGGACUGGGACACGGCCCAGACUCCUACGGGAGGCAACAGUGGGGAAUCUUCCGCAAUGGACGAAAGUCUGAAGGGGCAACGCCGCGUGAAUGAUGACGGCCUUCGGGUUGUAAAGCUCUGUUAAUCGGGACGCGGUACCGAAAUAGAAAGCCACGGCUAACUACGUGCCAGCAGCCGCGGUAAUUC
rnacentral:rRNA from 1 species